rnacentral:rRNA from 1 species
AUUGAACGCUGGCGGCAUGCCUUACACAUGCAAGUCGAACGGUAACAGGUCUUCGGAUGCUGACGAGUGGCGAACGGGUGAGUAAUACAUCGGAACGUGCCUAGUAGUGGGGGAUAACUACUCGAAAGAGUGGCUAAUACCGCAUGAGAUCUACGGAUGAAAGCAGGGGAUCGCAAGACCUUGUGCUACUAGAGCGGCCGAUGGCAGAUUAGGUAGUUGGUGGGAUAAAAGCUUACCAAGCCGACGAUCUGUAGCUGGUCUGAGAGGACGAUCAGCCACACUGGGACUGAGACACGGCCCAGACUCCUACGGGAGGCAGCAGUGGGGAAUUUUGGACAAUGGGCGCAAGCCUGAUCCAGCAAUGCCGCGUGCAGGAUGAAGGCCUUCGGGUUGUAAACUGCUUUUGUACGGAACGAAAAGCCCUGGGUUAAUACCCUGGGGUCAUGACGGUACCGUAAGAAUAAGCACCGGCUAACUACGUGCCAGCAGCCGCAGUAACAC